UAGGGAAUAUUGCAAAAUGGGCGAAAGCCCGAUGCAGCAACGCCGCGUGGGCGAUGAAGGCCUUCGGGUCGUAAAGCCCUUUUUGAGGGGAUGAGGAAGGACAGUACCCUCAGAAUAAGCCUCGGCUAACUACGUGCCAGCAGCCGCGGUAAAACGUAGGAGGCGAGCGUUAUCCGGAUUUACUGGGCGUGAAGCGCGUGCAGGCGGAUUGGAGAGUUGGAUGUGAAAGCUCCCGGCUUAACUGGGAGAGGUCGUUCAAUACUUCCAGUCUUGGGUGCAGUAGAGGGAAGUGGAAUUCCGGGUGUAGUGGUGAAAUGCGUAGAUAUCCGGAGGAACACCAGUGGUGAAAGCGGCUUCCUGGACUGUAACUGACGCUCAGACGCGAAAGCUAGGGUAGCAAACA
rnacentral:rRNA from 1 species